AAGCGUCCACACGUGGUCAUUCACCUCUGCUGUCAAAGCACGGGGACUUAACUCCGUUAAUGCAGGGGAAACUGAAUAUCUAGAGUGCCGUAGGGGUAGAGGGAAUUCCCGGUGUAGCGGUGAAAUGCGUAGAGAUCGGGAAGAACAUCGGUGGCGAAAGCGCUCUACUGGACGGCAACUGUCACUCAGGGACGAAAGCUAGGGGAGCGAAUGGGAUUAGAUACCCCAGUAGUCCUAGCUGUAAACGAUGAAUACUAGGUGUAGCUUGUAUCGUCCCGAGCUGUGCCGAAGCUAACGCGUUAAGUAUCCCGCCUGGGGAGUACGCACGCAAGUGUGAAACUCAAAGGAAUUGACGGGGGCCCGCACAACCGGUGGAGUAUGUGGUUUAAUUCGAUGCAACGCGAAGAACCUUACCAGGGCUUGACAUGUCUAGAAUCCCGGUGAAAGCUGGGAGUGCCUUCGGGAGCCGGAACACAGGUGGGCAUGUGCUGUUUCAGCUCGGUCGUGAGAUGUUGGG
rnacentral:rRNA from 1 species